rnacentral:rRNA from 1 species
UGUUGUCGAGCUCCAGAAGAUCCCCGGGAGCGAAGGCGUAGGUCUGAUCGAAGGUCUCUUCGAGGGUGGUCGCAGUGACGGCGCCAGCCAGCAAAAGGCCAACAGCCAGGGCCCAGACGACGUGCUUUCGGGUGUUCAGGUUCAUCCUUAAGGUCCUCCUCGUUGGUCGGCAAACUCAAAGCAUGGGUGAGGGCAAUUUCGAUCCGGAAAUUCUCGGUUUCAGGUAUUUAGACGCUCUCCAUGGGUGUGGGGUUUAGUCCACAGUUCCGGUCGAUGGUUGGUCGCCUAUGUACCCCUACUACGAGCAUUCUCCGGAGGAGUUUCGAGGACCUGGGGGGCCCCGG